GCGAGUGAAGCGGGAAGAGCUCAAAUUUGAAAGCUGGCGCCUUCGGCGUCCGCGUUGUAAUCUCGAGAAGUGUUUUCCGUGCUGGACCAUGUACAAGUUCCUUGGAAUAGGACGUCAUAGAGGGUGAAAAUCCCGUACUUGAUGUGGCCGCCCAGUGCUUUGUGAUACACUUUCCAUGAGUCGAGUUGUUUGGGAAUGCAGCUCAAAAUGGGUGGUAAAUUCCAUCUAAAGCUAAAUAUUGGGGAGAGACCGAUAGCGAACAAGUACCGUGAGGGAAAGAUGAAAAGCACUUUGGAAAGAGAGUUAAAUAGUACGUGAAAUUGUCGAAAGGGAAGCGCUUGAAGUUAGACAUGCUAGUUGGAAUUCAGCCUUGCUUUUGCUUGGUGCAUUUUCCGGUUAGCAGGCCAGCAUCAGUUUUGCCUGUCGGAUAAGGGUAGGAGGAAUGUGGCCCCUCGGGGUGUUAUAGCCUCUUACUGGAUACGACGGGUGGGACUGAGGACAGCAGUGCGCCUUUAUGGCGGGCCUUCGGGCACCUUCGCACUUAGGAUGCUGGCGUAAUGGCUUUAAGCGACCCGUCUUU
rnacentral:rRNA from 1 species